UACGUAGGUGGCAAGCGUUGUCCGGAUUUAUUGGGUUUAAAGGGUGCGUAGGCGGUUCUAUAAGUCAGUGGUGAAAUCCGGCAGCUCAACUGUCGAUGUGCCAUUGAUACUGCAGAACUUGAGUACAGACGAGGUAGGCGGAAUUGACGGUGUAGCGGUGAAAUGCUUAGAUAUCGUCAAGAACACCAGUGGCGAAGGCGGCUCACUGGCCCGAUACUGACGCUGAGGCACGAAAGCGUGGGGAGCAAACAGG
rnacentral:rRNA from 1 species